CCUAUUUUUAUCUGGCGGAACCCACUUGUAUUCCCCGUUGUCAAGGCAACUAUAUAUCCUUCUUGCUUCUGGGUCAGUGAGUCACCAUCUGCUUCCGCGUAUUCUGGAGUUCUGAUUAAUCAAAUGCCUAGAAAACCUCGGUACACCGUUAGUACUAUAGCCAGAACUGUUGCUGUCCCUGAUAGUCAAACCUAUGCUACUUUGCCCACGGAUGGAACGAAGGAUACGGGAGCAAAUACUUCAAGUGCACAGCGACGUGCUAGAGCACCUCCACCUCCACAUUCCGGCAAUAGUACUUGACAAUCUCGUGUUAAUGCUGUACUGUUUCGACCACCGUGCAAUGAAACACGGCUAGCUUCGUCAUGUGACAUGGGUGACACCCGAGCUCCUGCAACACGCAAGAGCAUCCGAAUUUACAUGAAGUUGCAGUUGACUAUUCAGAAGAUGAAGACUAUGACCUGGAGGCAGAUGAGGUCGAGUCAUUUGAUGACCAUGUCAACGACUUGUUUGCCGUGCAUGAAGUUGAACGUCAAGGCAAUGCUAACAGCAAAAAAAAGGACACCGAUUUUUGGGAAGUUGAUGUCAUCGAAAAUGGCGUGACUUCUUGUAUGGAGCUGACUGUUAAGGAGGCAUUAACACGUCCUCCUGGAAGGAAGAUCGUACUCCAACAUAACAAAGUUUUGCAACAAGUUGGUCAGGCAGCGAGCCUAUUAAGCGGGUUCUUAGGGACUUUGGUGGCUGAUUUUCAACAGUUACCAAUUUGUGAAAGUAGUUAGAAGACAAUGAACAAGGCUUGCAAGGAGCAUGCGUUUGACCAGGUUAAGGUAAAUUAGAGAAGGAUAGUGCAUGUUGGGUUACUUUUUGUUCACUGCUUUGAAUUUUGUUGCUACGAAUUAUUCAUGAAUAAUGAUGUGUCUUCUGAUAAUAUGUAAGUCUGUUUAAGGUGGUUAAUUAUUAUAUGUUUUUUCUGUUAAUAUUUAGUCCGCUCCUCCUUAACCCUCCCGACAAAAAAUCCCUUCACCUUUCAACUUUGUUAUUUUUGUCCCUGCCUGUAGAAAGCUAUUGUAGAAGAGAUUCAGCUUGAUUCCUUUGUAGGAUUUGAUGGGUACCUUUACCAAAAAGUUUUAACAGAUUAUAUUUGUAACUAAUACCAUUAUUUAAUGAAGUGAUAUAUACUUGAUCACUACUAAGCUGGUCUAGCAAGGGGGAUUCUGUUCAUAUCUUGAAGGAGAUUUUUCCAUUAUCAUUAUUGGGAAUUUUUGCGGCAUGUAUGAUCAGGUGAGCGGUCCAUCAAGAUUUGAGUUGAUCCUGUUACUGAUAAGGUGUAUGUUAUGAGGGAAUAUAGAGGGUAAGAGUGGCAAGCAUGUGCUUGUUCCCAGCUAACUUUAAUUACUGAAAAACAAAUACUCAAUAUUGAGCCAUCUUUGUCAAGGGUCUCUUUAUUCUUCAAGUUCAUGAUCAAGGUCCACCCACUAUGAUUUUUUGUGUGUAUGAUAAUCUCUUGUUAAUCUUUAUGUAGACCAAGUUAUGUGGCUGAUAAACCCCAAUUUGUGGUUUAUCUUGUGCUUAUUUCAGGGAAUUUUAUCAACUUUUCUCACAUUUAUUCAAUGAAAUGGUAUGGUUUUGAAUCCUCCCUAAAUUUGUGCUUAAGUAUGAAAACAUGCUUUUUUAGGCCUUAAAAUAGCUAAAUUUAAUUCACUUUAAUUAUAUUCGAUGUCUUGAUAUGUUGUUAAGUGAUUUUAAGUUUAGAAGGCAAACAUUGGAUUGAAGGAAUGAAGGAAAAGCAUGCAAAGUGGGAGAACUCAUGAAGAAAUGAAGGAACUGCAAAGCUGUCAAUCCUGACCUCUUCGCACUUAAUCGAUCAUAACUUGAGCUACAAAGAUCCAAAUGAGGCGGUUUUAGUUGUGUUGGAAAGCUAACAUCCGGACUUCAAAAUGAUAUAAAAUUUGCUAUAGUUUCUUGGCAUUUAGAGACGCAUACGCGUGCAUCACACGUACACGUGGGAAGCUGCACGUGACUCACUAAAGGCAACUCAUGGCCAACAAUUUCUGAAGCAUUUUGGGCCCAAUCCAACUCAUUUCUGAUACUAUUUCAUGCAGAAUUCAAGCUUGGGCAAGGGGGGAGCACUUAGUUGUAGGAUUCCAUUAUGUAGUUUAGUUUUUAUAGAGAGAAGCUCCCUCUUCUUUCUAAAAUCAGGGUUCUUAGGGUUUUUCCAUCUUAGAUCUAGGUCCAACUUCUUGAUUUCAUCUUGUUUCCUUUACAAUUUCUUGUUUUAACACUUUAAUUCUUCUUGGUUCUCUUGUUAAUUUUACUUCAA